CUCUGUGAAUCCUGAACUCCAGUAGGGCCCAAGCCAGCCAGGAAGGAGGAGGCAGCCAGAGAGGCCUCCACUGUUCUCUGCAGCAGAAGACCCCCUGCUGCCAGAAACUUUUUUAAAGGUUUGAAAGGCCUGGGCGAACAGAAAGGUCUUCACCUGACAGCUAAAAGAACAAAAUUAUCCAUAAGAAGUGAAGUAGGGAUGAGCCAGCAAAUUACAGACCAAUAAGCCUACUUAAUGUAACUAGCAAAUUGUACGCUAAACAUCGUGCAUUGAAUUUUGCUCCUGGUUGGAUACAGAAGAUUUGCUGAAGGAGGAGCAAGCUGGCUUCAGGCAUGUCAGGGCUCUCUGCAUUGGUGUGAGGGAAAAGAAAAGCAACCACCCAACAUCUCAGAAAGCAUAUUUAUCUUCAUCAUAGCUAGAAGCCUGACAUGGUUGUGUGUGAAAUGAUAUGAAUGUUCAACAGUUGGUUUCUUCAAAGAGGCAGAAUCUUACAAAGAAAAGCCUGUUUCAAGCACUGAAUAGUCUAUCAGAAAUCCCCAUGUUGGUUGAACUAAAAUGGAUACAUAUAUUCAAUGAAACAGAGAGCUUGCAGAACUGAUAGAGAUAAAGAGCAUGAUCAAAGUAAAAGUGAAAGUAGCAUCAUUAAGAGGCAUCAGAUCAAAUCAUUCUGACCAAUAUUUUCCUUUGUAGUAAGCAGCCAAAGCAAAGAGAAUAACUGCUCAUAGACCACAUAUUCUGGAAUAGUUAAAAUGACUUUAUUAGCAAAAAUGCAAAUAAGGAUUCUAAGUGUUACAGACAUUAUAGACAGAGUUCUUAAAAGACAGAUACAUGGUAUCCAGUUCCUUAGUCAAGAUGCAUUGGAAAACUUGGAUUAAGUGAGGUGUUCUAUACAUACAUGAAUAUUGUGGUUAAUUCCCAUGCCCACUGCUGUCAAUGCCAAUGCUACCAAGCCAUAAAGCACUUUUACAACCUUUAAGGGAUGAAUAUAUACUGUAUAUUCUCUCUCUCUCUCUCUCUCUCUCUCUCUCUCUCUCUCUCACACACACACACACACACACACACACACACACACACACACACACGUCUCCCCCCCCCUCUCUCUCUCUCUCUCACACACACACACCUCUCUCUCUCUCUCUCUCUCUCACACACACACACACUCUCUCUCUCUCUCUCUCUCUCUCUGGAAGGAAGGAAGGAAGGAAGGAAGGAAGCAAGGAAGGAAAACAUUAAAUAAUUAAAAAAAAAGAGUUCCUGAGAGUGUACAGGAUACAUCAUCAUAUUUGAAGUGGCUAUAUGCAUAAAUUUCAUUAUGUGUAAGAGGGCUAGAAUAGAGGUUGUGUGUGGCCACAUAAUAUAUGAUAUUAUGAUGCUGUACACUGAAUGUGUAUGUAUGUAAACAAAAAUCCUCUGUGUAUUCAAUGCAUUAUAUGUGAAACAAUUUUGGGACUGUUAAUUAAGUAGCAAUUAACCGCAUAUUACAUGCUAGAAAUUAUAACAGUGCCCAGAUUCUAUUUUAGAAAACUAAACUAAACUAAACGCAAAGCUUAUUCUGGAGGUGGUGAUUUUGAGUGAAAAAGCAUUGGGGGUGGGUGGGCUUUAUUUCCCCACUACCUUCUGUUUCUCUGCUUCAGGUUGCCACUCCAAAUGGCUUGCCUUUCUACACCUUCUACAUGGGUGUAGAAAAGCUGUAGGGAAACCCUUUGCAUACUAGCAUCCAAACCAUAGCCAUUAGUUUAUAUACAGCAUUCAGCUUUUGAAAUACCAUCAAAUGUGAACAAAACGGAAUGUUUGUGACAGGAUGCCAGAAGAUGAAUCCUGUACAUGGAAGUAUGUACAGGAAGUACAUAUGUGGGUAUGUACAUGGAAGUACAUGACUGGCUUGUCAUGGGCUGAAAGCUGACAUUUUCAAGAAUUACUCCUAUAUAUAUACUAUGCUCAGUGGUCAUAUGCAUAGGUUCUUAGAUAGUUCUUUUGUUAGCAGUCACAGUGACUGGGCACAGGAGAGACAAGACAUUAGAGAUAUUUUUUAAAAGAUAGAUAUAAUCUAUGUCUGUAAGUGAGUGACAGGUGCUUCUUGUUCCUUAUACCAGGAUGCUGCUAUGAAUACUUUAUUAGUUGUAGACGGAUUGGCUUGUAGACAUGUUUCUAUGUUCCUUGUUUAAAACAUUAUGUAUCCCAGAAAUAUAUUUUCUAGCUGGAGGCAAUUUGACAUGUGCCGAUCUCAUGCUGCCUAUGGUAAUAAGGAACACCAAAUAUAGUCAGCUCUAAGAAGUGACAUCUUUUAGGAAGUAAUAAAGUAUUAGACGCUAAACUCUAAGAUUUGUACCUCCAUGAUUUUGCUAAUAAAUCAUGCCCAGAGCAAGCUUGAUGAUCUUGUUCAAAUUGCCAGAAUAUAGUGGUGUACAAUAUAUUUGUUUGGAUCAGGAUUGACAGGGGAAAUAAUGUUGUGAAUUAAUUGGUAAAACACCAUGUCAAAUCUUGACAGCACAUUUGUCCAAUAAGCUGGUUUGAUCAUUUUUAAACCUAACAAUUCCAAUAUUCUGUUGGUGUCAUCUAACUUUUCUCUGCACAUUUCUGUUUUUAAAAGCUCUGUGAUCUAAACUAGAUAGUGUUACAUAAAAUUCACUCCUAGAACUAAUCUAACUUUCCUUUCUGUCAAUGAAAUACUCACAUUUUGGCCAUCUACCCCAUGCCUUAAAUAAGUGUAGUUUAUUCUAUACAACUAUAUGAAAACAAUUGUUUUCUCAUGAAGAUGAUAGCAAUAUUCUGAGCCACCAUGGAAGUAGGGUUGUCCUUACAAAACAAAAUGCUAGUCAUUCUCCCUCCCUCCCUCCCUUUCUCUCUCUCUCUCUCUCCCUCUCUCUCUCUCACACACACACACACACACACACACACACACCUCUUCAACAAACACAUAUCUUCUGAGCUUAUUUUAUUUACUUAAUGUAAAAGGUUCAGUUGCAAUUAGACAUAAAAACUAUGCGAAAUGUAAUGAAAGCACUAUCAAAACUGCAGCCUCUGUAGUUAUGGAGUUGCACUGAUCUCUAUUACAACUCAAUUAAAACUAUGGUUGCUGUCUUCAUCACCUGACAAAGGAAUGCUGUAGCCAUAGUUCUGUGUUUCAGUCUUUAAAGUACCAAUAUAGUAUUCUCUGGAAGGCUUGGAAUAGGGUUUUUUUUAUGACCUGCGAAAGAUUCAAGUCAGAUUACUUUGCUAGGAAUGUGCAAAACACUUCAAAAUUGAAAUGCUUUGAGCUUCAAAUGGGCAGUUUCUAGUGUUUCAAGCUCAAAACAACACCCUUAAAAUAAAGGGCCUGUUCUGAGGUCAAAACAGAAUAACCCCAUUUCAAUUGGAACUUUUUUAGUGUUUCUAGCACCAUUUGGGGGGCCUGGUUUUCCCUUGCUGAUUGGUUCUCUGGCACUGGAUUCCAUUUGGCUUACAAU